AUGGCGGCGGCGGGAGCGCCAGCGCGCGCGCUUCUGCCCACCGUCCUCCUCCUCUUCCUGGCGGUGGCGGAGGCGCAGGUGGACCCUAUGAGCAACGGCGCCGUCACGUCGGCGCUCAACGCCAAGCUCAAGAAGCUGACUGACGCCUUCGCUCCGCAGGUGAAAAGGGAGCUCGGCUACUGCAUCCAGGACACGGACGCUGAGUGGGACGCCACCUUCAACUUCUCCUCCGAUCCCAAAUUCCUCGUCGACUGCAUGAAGAAAGGGGACCUGCCGCAGCGCGUGUGCACCGCCGCCGAGCUCAAGUUCUACUUCGAGAGCAUCCUCAGAAGAGGCAAGAAGAACUAUGUGAGGCCAAACAAGAACUGCAACCUCUCGUCCUGGAUCGACGGCUGCGAGCCCGGCUGGGGCUGCACCGCCGACGCCGGCAAGGAGGUGGACCUGCAGGACGCGGAAAACUUCCCCUCCAGGACCGUCGACUGCCAGGGCUGCUGCCCCGGCUUCUUCUGCCCCCGCGGCCUCACUUGCAUGAUACCCUGCCCUCUGGGAGCAUACUGUCCACAGUCCACCCUCAACAAAACCACCGGAGUCUGCGAUCCAUACAACUACCAACCGCCUCCUGGGCAGCCCAACCAUACUUGCGGCGGUGCCGACAGAUGGUCGGAUGUCAUGAGUACUGACGAUGUUUUCUGUCCAGCUGGUUACUACUGUCCAAGCCCUAUCCUCAAGAUCGAUUGCAGUAGUGGGUUCUAUUGCAGGAAAGGAUCAACUAUCCAGACCAAAUGCUUAUCCAAGGGCAGUUGUAAACCAAACUCUACAACCCAGGACAUCACAAUAUUUGGUGCCAUGCUAGUGGUUGCCCUGAGUUUAGUGCUGUUGAUCAUUUACAACUUCUCUGACCAACUUCUGACCAACCGAGAGAAGAAGCAAGCGAAAUCUAGGGAGGCUGCUGUAAGACUCGCGAAAGAGACCGUACAGGCCCGUGAAAGGUGGAGAUCAGCUAAAGAUGUCGCAAAGAAGCAUGCCGCUGGCCUGCAGACAUCUCUCACCCGCACAUUCUCGCGCAAGAAGAGUCUCAGCUCACAUGAAUCAUCUAAAGGGGGAGGUGUCCCGCAUCCACCUGAACAGCAUCGUGCGGAUCAUCCGUCAGAAGAAUCAGGAGAGAAGAACACCGGAAGCCCCACUGCGGAAGUAGGAGGAGAUAAAAAGAAGAAGGGGGGGAAACAUGCGCACACGCAGAGCCAAAUCUUCCAGUAUGCGUAUGGUCAAAUCGAAAAGGAGAAGGCACUGGAACAAGAACUGGAACAAAACAGUAAUAACCUUUCCUUGUCAGGAGUGGUAGCCAUGGCAACUGAUGAAGAUUUAAGGCAAAGACCUAGAAUCGAGAUUGCUUUCAAAGACAUUACUCUCACUUUGAAGGGGAGUAAGAAAAAACUUCUAAGGUCUGUGAGUGGGAAGCUUAUGCCUGGCCGGGUAGCUGCCGUGAUGGGCCCAUCAGGCGCGGGAAAAACCACCCUCUUGAGUGCUAUUGCCGGCAAGGCGACUGGAUGCGCGACAACCGGUACGAUACUCAUAAACGGGAAGCAAGAGCCUAUCCGUGCAUACAAGAAGAUCAUCGGCUUUGUCCCGCAAGACGAUAUUGUCCAUGGAAACUUGACUGUUCAAGAGAACCUCUGGUUUAAUGCGAGAUGCAGGCUCCCUGUUGAGAUGUCCCAGGCUGAAAAAGUUCUUGUCGUGGAAAGAGUUAUCGAGUCCUUGGGACUGCAACCAGUUCGCGAUUCCAUGGUUGGAACUGUUGAAAAGCGUGGCAUCUCUGGUGGCCAGCGUAAGCGGGUAAAUGUCGGUCUAGAGAUGGUUAUGGAACCCUCUGUGCUCAUCUUAGAUGAGCCAACAUCUGGUUUGGACAGUGCUUCGUCUCUGCUUCUACUUCGCGCUCUACGGCGGGAAGCUAUGGAAGGGGUCAACAUCUCCAUGGUGGUUCAUCAGCCCAGCUACACACUGUACAAUAUGUUUGAUGACUUGAUACUUCUCGCGAAAGGUGGUAUGCCUGUUUACCACGGGCCUGUGAAGAAAGUGGAGGAAUACUUUAAAAGGUUGGGGAUUGUCGUGCCAGAUCGCGUGAAUCCGCCCGACUACUACAUAGACAUCUUGGAGGGGAUUGUGAAGCUAGACACAAAUGCGGUCAACGUCAAAGAUCUCCCUCUGCGGUGGAUGCUGCAGAACGGAUACGAGGUUCCACGAGAUAUGCUGCAGAGUUCUUCCGGCUCGGAAUCAUCGUUGAGUGGGGAAGCAGGUGGUCACGCCCCCCAAGCUGAGGCCAAGAAAUCCGUUCUUGGUGAAUUGUGGGGCAAUCUCAGGGACAUACUUGGGCAGAAAAAGGAUGAGUACGAUUACAACAAAUCUUCUGAAGAUUUGUCUAACCGCCGCACACCUGGCAAACUUAGGCAGUACAAAUACUACCUGGGAAGAUGUGGCAAGCAAAGGCUUCGUGAAUCUAGCAUACAAGGAGUCGACUUUCUGAUUCUGGGUCUUGCUGGUAUCUGUCUUGGGACACUAGCUAAAGUGAGCGACGAGUCUUUCGGAGCACUUGGCUACACAUACACCGUCAUCGCUGUCUCUCUGCUUUGCAUGAUUGGAGCCCUCCGCUCAUUUUCCUUGGAGAAGAUACACUACUGGCGAGAGAGAGCGGCGGGCAUGAGCUCCCUUGCAUACUUCAUGUCCAAGGACACGAUCGAUCACUUCAACACGAUCGUGAAGCCGAUCGUCUACCUCUCCAUGUUCUACUUCUUCAACAACCCGAGGUCGUCCAUCUGGGAGAACUACGUCGUUCUUGUCGCGGUCGUCUACUGCGUCACGGGGAUCGGCUACACCUUUGCCAUCUUCUUCCAGCCCGGUUCAGCACAGCUGUGGUCAGCGUUGCUUCCGGUUGUCCUGACCCUCUUCUCGAAUGAGCAGAAGGACAGCGUCUUUGCUAACCUAUGCUACACAAAGUGGGCGCUCGAGGCGUUCGUGAUUGCAAAUGCGCAGAGGUACUCUGGUGUUUGGCUCAUCACGCGGUGCGGUUCGCUGGUGAAGAUGGGGUACGACAUCGACCACAAGAUCACGUGUAUACUUGUCCUUGCUGCGAACGGGAUAGUGUUCCGGUGUAUAGCCUUCUUCUGCAUGGUCAUCUUCCAAAAGCACUGA
rnacentral:rRNA from 1 species